GACGAACGCUGGCGGCGUGCUUAACACAUGCAAGUCGAACGGAAAGGCCCUGCUUUUGUGGGGUGCUCGAGUGGCGAACGGGUGAGUAACACGUGAGUAACCUGCCCUUGACUUUGGGAUAACUUCAGGAAAUUGGGGCUAAUACCGGAUAGGAGCUCCUGCUGCAUGGUGGGGGUUGGAAAGUUUCGGCGGUUGGGGAUGGACUCGCGGCUUAUCAGCUUGUUGGCGGGGUAGUGGCUUACCAAGGCUUUGACGGGUAGCCGGCCUGAGAGGGUGACCGGCCACAUUGGGACUGAGAUACGGCCCAGACUCCUACGGGAGGCAGCAGUGGGGAAUAUUGCACAAUGGGCGGAAGCCUGAUGCAGCAACGCCGCGUGCGGGAUGACGGCCUUCGGGUUGUAAACCGCUUUCGCCUGUGACGAAGCGUGAGUGACGGUAAUGGGUAAAGAAGCACCGGCUAACUACGUG
rnacentral:rRNA from 1 species